GGCAGUGCGAGUGCACUUACUGCCACCAAACCGGACGCUUAAAAAUGGUCACAAUGAUAAAUUUCAGGUUGUGUAUAUUUCAUCACGAUAAAAAACAGCCAAUAAAAAGCCGGUAAAAACAAAGAAAAAAGAGACUAAACAAAGUUAAAUAUAUAAAGGAAGCAGUCAAGUGAUCCAGCAGUAGUCCCUCCUGGAAGAGGUCAUCGGCUUGCCUCGAGCUUUUCGGCCCUUCUCUUUUAGGGUUGCCAGAGAGAAGGUGGCUGUCUGCAACCUGAAGAGAGCUCUCUCACAGAAGCACAUUGACCUUGGACUUCCCAGCCUCCAGAACUAUCAAUGGAGAAACACAUUGUGGAAUAUUAGUCACAGAAGGGACUGAAGACGGACACAUGCUACCACGCGGCUGAACCUCAGAAACGUCAUGCUGUGGGAAGGAGCCAGACACAGGCCACAUGUCGCACGGCUCCAUCCAUGCGAAAUUUCCACAAGAGGCAAAUGCGUGGGGACAGAAGGCAGGUCGCGGUUUCCAGGGGCUGAGGGGUGGAGGAGAAUGGGAAGUGGCUGACUAAUGGAUACAGGCUUUGUUACUUCGUUUUGGGUGAUGAAACUGUUUUGGAACUACAUAGA